GGGGAAGUAGCUCAAUUGGUAGAGCACAAUCAUCGAACUGAUUAUGUUAUUAGUGAUGUGGUUUCUUGCUUGAAACAAGGGUCGAGGUUCGAUUCCUCGCUUCUCCA
rnacentral:tRNA from 1 species